rnacentral:rRNA from 1 species
GGUCACAUUACAUUGAAACACCAGUUCCUGUAUGAUCCCCAAAAUUAAGCAACGUCGAGCCUGGUCAGCACCUAGAUGGGUGACUGCUUGGGAAUACCAGGUACUGUAAG